GAGUGCGCGAGUGCGCACUCACCACAACACAAAAGGGUUACCCGGGUCUCCCUGCCUGGGUAAUCCUUAU
rnacentral:ncRNA from 1 species